ACAUGCUUAUAUUAUAGCGUUAAUGCACCGGAUCCCAUUAAAACUACGCAGAUAAGCACACUCGGGAUAGAGUAGUAUUGGGAUGGGUGACUACCUGGGAAUUCCUAGUGUUUUACAUGCC
rfam:Picea glauca, whole genome shotgun sequence.